rnacentral:rRNA from 1 species
UGGGGAAUUUUGGACAAUGGGGGAGACCCUGAUCCAGCAAUGCCGCGUGUGUGAAGAAGGCCUGAGGGUUGUAAAGCACUUUAGGUGGGGAGAAAGGUCACUAGCAUAAUAAACUAGUGAAUUGAUGUUACCCACAGAAUAAGCACCGGCUAACUCUGUGCCAGCAGCCGCGGUAAUACAGAGGGUGCAAGCGUUAAUCGGAAUUAUUGGGCGUAAAGCGCACGUAGGUGGUUUAAUAAGUUUGAUGUGAAAGCCCUGGGCUUAACCUGGGAGGUGCGUUGAAUACUAUUGGACUAGAGUCUGGCAGAGGGCGGUGGAAUUUCCGGUGUAGCGGUGAAAUGCGUAGAGAUCGGAAAGAACAUCGGUGGCGAAGGCGGCCGCCUGGGCCAAGACUGACACUGAGGUGCGAAAGCGUGGGGAGCAAACAG